rnacentral:rRNA from 1 species
AACGAACGCUGGCGGCAUGCCUAACACAUGCAAGUCGAACGAGAACUCCGGGUCUAGUGGCGAAGGGGUGCGUACGGCGUGGGAACCUGCCCUUAGGUUCGGAAUCCCUCACCGUAAGGGGUGCUAAUACCGGAUAAUGUCUUCGGAGCAAAGAUGUAUUGCCUUUGGAUGGGCCCGGGUUGGAUUAGUGAGUUGGUAGGGUAAUAGCCUAGCAAGGCGAGGAUUCAGAGGUGGUCUGAGAGAAAGAGCAUCAACACUGGGGCUGGGACGCGGCCCAGAAUCGUAGGGAAGGGAGGAGAGGGGAAUAUAGGACGAUGGGGGAAGGCCUGAUACAGCCAUGCCGCGUAAGUGAUGAAGGGCGUAGGGUAGUGAAUUUCUUUUAGCCGGGAUGAUAAUGACGGUACCGUGAGAAUAAGCACCGGCUAACUCCGUG